rnacentral:rRNA from 1 species
CCUACGGGUGGCAGCAGUGGGGAAUAUUGCACAAUGGGGGAAACCCUGAUGCAGCGACGCCGCGUGAGUGAAGAAGUAUUUCGGUAUGGAAAGCUCUAUCAGCAGGGAAGCAAAUGACGGUACCUGUUUAAGAAGCCCCGUCUAACUACGUGCCAGCACCCGCGGUAAUACGUAGGGGGCCAGCGUUAUCCGGAUUUACUGGGUGUAAAGGGAGCGUAGACGGCAGCACAAGUCUGGAGUGAAAUGCCGGGGCUUAACCCCGGAACUGCUGUGGAAACUGUGCAGCUAGAGUGCAGGAGAGGUAAGUGGAAUGCCGAGUGUAGCGGUGAAAUGCGUAGAUAUUAGGAGGAACACCAGUGGCGAAGGCGGCUUACUGGACUGUAACUGACGUUGAGGCUCGAAAGCGUGGGGAGCAAACAGGAUUAGAUACCCGGGUAGUC